ensembl:lncRNA
GUUUAAUUUCAACAUUUCCUCUUUUUGUGACAAACUACAGUAUAUAAGAUCACACAAGUGUCAGACUAACAAACUUGCUUAGAGCACUGAUCCAGAGUCAGAUCUGACGCCUUUCAGCUCGUGAAGAUGAGUCCCACUCUCUCCAUCAGCCGCUGGAUUUUUCUGUUCUGUCUGCCUGUCGUGAUGGUCGUCCCUGUGGAGAAAGACUAUAAAGCCCAUUUCUCACUUCAAAGUGUGGGUUUGCCGUGCUGCCGUACGGUGAUCACCCAGGAAAUAACGAUGAUCACAAGUUGUUUGGAACAACAACCACGUCAUGGCUGCAGGCAGCAUGCAUUCCUGAUAAACGACAAUAACAAUAAAACAUGGUGCAUUGAUCCAAAUUCUGAGUGGCUCAAAGACAAAAUAGAGAAGGAAGAAUUGAACUGUCCUCCGGUGAUUAGUAAAUAAAGUAGCAAUGAGACCAAAAAACAUCAGCGUAAAGAAGCUGCAGACAACACUUAUGUUUUUUUAAACAAUUAAUUAAUUUUAUAUAUAUUUAUACAUAUUUAUUCACAAUGUUUUUUCCCCAUUGGGCAAUUGAUGUUAUUUUUAAUUUUCUGUGAUUACAGUAAUAAAAAGUUCUUUGUGACUAUAAAUAACAUAAAUAUUGGACAAUAA